CCUACGGGAGGCAGCAGUCGAGAAUCAUUCACAAUGGGGGAAACCCUGAUGGUGCGACGCCGCGUGGGGGAAUGAAGGUCUUCGGAUUGUAAACCCCUGUCAUGUGGGAGCAAAUUAAAACGAUCGUACCACCACAGGAGGAGACGGCUAACUUUGUUCCAGCAGCCCCGGUAAUGCAGAGGUCUCAAGCGUUGUUCGGAAUCACUGGGCGUAAAGCGUGCGUAGGCUGUUUCGUAAGGCGUGUGGGAACAGCGCGGGCUCAACCCGCGGACGGCACAUGAGACUGGGAGACUAGAGUGAGGGAGGGGGAACCGGAAUUCUCGGUGUAGCAGUGAAAUGCGUAGAUAUCGAGAGGAACACUCGUUGCGAAGGCGGGUUACCGGACAUUAACUGACGCUGAGGCACGAAGGCCAGGGGAGCGAAAGGGAUUAGAUACCCUUGUAGUC
rnacentral:rRNA from 1 species